CUCAGAGAUAAUAGACAUACGACAGUGCAAUCAGCAACUAAGGAUAUUAUGAUUAUUUUUCUAUAAAGCACCAACACAUUUUGCAGCACUGUACAAUAAAUAGGUGGACUAACAAACAAGGAGUUUUAACAAGACAAAUUGGAUGUACAGGAACAGAAGGUGCUAAGGGCUCUGCUCAAUUGAGCUUACAUUACAUUCUGAGGUAAUUGCCAAACAAAUCCAGGAUGCAAGCAAGGAAGCAAUAUACUCAAACCUAUUUAAACAAAUAUUAAAU